rnacentral:rRNA from 1 species
CAAUAGCGUAUAUUUAAGUUGCUGCAGUUAAAGAGCUCGUAGUUGGAUUUCGGGUGGGAAUGGCCGGUCCGCCGUUUCGGUGUGCACUUGCUACGCCCACCUUGCUGCCGGGGACGUGCUCUUGAGUUCACGCUCGGGACACGGAGUCGGCGAGGUUACUUUGAGUAAAUUAGAGUGUUCAAAGCAGGCCUACGCUCCGAAUACAUUAGCAUGGAAUAACACGAUAGGACUCUGGCCUAUCUUGUUGGUCUGUAGGACCGGAGUAAUGAUUAAGAGGGACAGUCGGGGGCAUUCGUAUUUCAUUGUCAGAGGUGAAAUUCUUGGAUUUAUGAAAGACGAACUACUGCGAAAGCAUUUGCCAAGGAUGUUUUCAUUAA